GACCUGCUUCCUUUACUCGGAUCGUCCGGCACGUUCCUGCCGGUGAAGGGACUGUGUAACA
rfam:Streptomyces paucisporeus strain CGMCC 4.2025 genome assembly, contig: Ga0079900_122